ensembl:lncRNA
CAAUAAUAUAAUUGAACACAUAGGCUACAAUUAGGUUUAUGCAUUCCCCAUGGUGUGUGGUGAGCGCACUGGUGCCGUUGUCCUGUGGCUGCCGUUGCAUCAGCCAGGUGGAUGCUGCAUGCUGGUGGUGGUUGAGGAGAGACCCCCCCACAUGAUGUAAAGCGCUUUGGGUGUACAACAAUACAGAAUAAAACGCUAUAUAAAUGCAUCAUUCAUUCAUUCACUCAUUCAUGCAUGAAGAAAAUAAGGUUGCAUCCCAGGAGUUCUUAAAGAAUGCUAUAGAGUGAUGAAUGCAGCCAAGGAAAACGUGAACAAAAGAAAAGUGGAAAAUAACAGAAAGUACAGGAGACACCAAAAAGGAAGGAAACGAGUCCAUUGUUGAGAUUGCUGGCAAAGAAAACAAAAAUAUACAGGUUUGAUCCUCCAUACCAUUGUAGCCCAAACCAAUAUGCUAUUAAAUGUCAAGAAAGGGAUUAAAAAUCCAAUUUCAUGAAAUUUCAGGUAAAACUGUGUUAUUUGAAUUUGCUUACCUAAAACUUCAUUCAUCAAGCCAAGAAGUGAACCUUAGAACACCAGGCACUGGAACACAGAAAUAAAUUAGACAGCAAUUAGCAUCGAUUGUUAGUUUGUUUGUGAAUGCUUCCUUAAUUUUCCCAUGUAUAGUUGGAUUUAUGUAUGUGUAUGUAUGUAUUUUAAUGUAUGUUGAUGAGCUCACCAAGCAAAUUCCAAGCAACUAGGGCAAUAAAUAAAUAAAUGAACUAUGCAUAUAUACACAGAAAAUGUUAUACAUGUUUGAAAAUGGCCCUUAAUAUCGCAUUAGUGAGGUCACUUCAACCCACAGACUUUAAAAACAACCUACAGCAACAAAGAAAAAAAAAUAGCCCAAUUCUUGAAAACGUCACACAGCACUGAGUCAUACAGAAGUAAAUACAGAGAACAUUAAAGUAAGCGAUUAUGCAUUUAUUUAUAGUAGGGGUCACCAAACUUGGUCCUGGAGGGCUGGUGCCUUGCAGAGUUUAGCUCCAACCCUAAUUAAACACACCUGAACUAGCUAAUCAAAGUCUUGCCAGGUAUACUAAAAACUUUCAGGCAGGUGAACUGCGGCAAGUUUGAGCUAAACUCUGCAGAACACUGGUCCUCCAGUAAUGAGUGUGGUGACCCCUGAUUUAUAGUGUUAGCUGCCAUGGAAGCCAGCAAAAUUAUGCACAGGCAAUAUGAAAAAUGAAGACAAACUAGAGCAGAGUUUGAAACUUGGCCACUCUAAAAUAUUGAUAUUGUUCUCUGCCAACCAUUUCUUGACCCCUUUUGCUGUAUGUUACGAGUUAUCUAACGACCCACAACACACAUCAAAAGUGGUCCAAGCCAGAGUCCAGUCCUGAAUCCAAUUGAAAAUGUGUUAAGACAACUGAAGACCAGAUUGAUGGACAGGAAGCCUUCCAACAUCAAGGACCUGGAGAUCUUUGCAGAGGAGUGGUCCAAAAUCCCAGUGGAAAUGUGCAAAAUAACUGCUGUGAUGAAAAAUGAAGACUUUUACACAGUUUUUUUUUUUUUUGAGAAAGAGUGUGAAUAGCUGUGAACAUGGAAUGUUCUGUAGAUGAAAAAAAAAAUCUCUGACAAAAUUACUUUCUUUUGUCACCUUUUUGUGUCAUUUCCAGCCAGAUGACACCUAUUUGUCAGAUAAAAAUUCAACACAAUUAAAAAUUUGGCAAUCAAGCAUGGUAUGAGUGGCCGUUUAAGAUACAAACAAGUAAAAAUUAUUUAACAGCAAGUUUGAGAAAAGACAAUACAGAAAAGGUAAGAAGGAUUAUUUGAGAAAAGCGCAUAUUACUGCAAUUGGCAGUGAAUCAUAAUAUAACUAACAUCCCUCAGUGUCACAUUUCUGAUUCUUGUGAAAUUGGCCAAUUAUAUAUUUUGACUCACAUGUAAGUAUGGCCCAAAAUCCUCCAAUGUUAUGAUGGGUUUCAGCAUCUGUCUCUUCACAAACGGAUUGUUUCAUAGCCAGUCUGAGAAUCCGAAAUAACAACAAGCCUCCCUUUAACAGAGAAAACACAUUUACAGAAAACAUAAAUGUCACAUUCUGUCAAGCUAAACAUCACAAUUAAAAAUCAUGUUCUAAUUUAAAUUAUGACAUUUCAUGUACCUAAAUAAUCAAAAUUAUGCCUAUUAUUUAAUAGAAAAAGGAAACAAGUCGUUUUGUAAAAAAGAAGAAAAAAAGAUAAAGCCAUUUCUUGUUGUUGUGUGUAUCAUUAUAGGUCAUGACUAAGAGCGGGAAUAAAACAUUUGAAUGCAAUGGAAUACGUCUCGCGAGUGGUGUUUAAUAACUGUCACUAACGUCAACAACGUCUGUUGGUUGAAGACGGUGGUGGAAAUAGACUGAAUC